rnacentral:rRNA from 1 species
CCUACGGGGGGCAGCAGUGGGGAAUAUUGGACAAUGGGGGGAACCCUGAUCCAGCCAUGCCGCGUGUGUGAAGAAGGCCCUCGGGUUGUAAAGCACUUUCAGUGAGGAAGAACGCCUGGUGGUUAAUACCCAUCAGGAAAGACAUCACUCACAGAAGAAGCACCGGCUAACUCCGAGCCAGCAGCCGCGGUAAUACGGAGGGUGCGAGCGUUAAUCGGAAUUACUGGGCGUAAAGCGCGCGUAGGUGGCUUGAUAAGCCGGUUGUGAAAGCCCCGGGCUCAACCUGGGAACGGCAUCCGGAACUGUCAAGCUAGAGUGCAGGAGAGGAAGGUAGAAUUCCCGGUGUAGCGGUGAAAUGCGUAGAGAUCGGGAGGAAUACCAGUGGCGAAGGCGGCCUUCUGGACUGACACUGACACUGAGGUGCGAAAGCGUGGGUAGCAAACAGGAUUAGAUACCCCAGUAGUC